AUGUCAGCAAUGAUGGUUAAAGAGUUGGAAUUGAUUGAGCAGUUCAGAGAUAUGAGCUUAGUUUGCGAGGUUACACUGCAAAGUGUUAUGUUGGGUAUGUUGAAGAUUAAUAAUGAAUUUCUAGACAGUAUCAGAGAAGCUCAGAAGUUGGAUGUAAAACUGGUAGAUUUGAUGGUUUGGAUUGACCAGUCUGAGAACCGUGAUUUUAAGCUAGAUGCGCAAGGUGUGUUGAGGUUUUGUAACCAGAUUUCUAUUCCUGAUGAUGCUGAGAUGAAGAAAGUGAUACUUGAAGAGAGUCAUAGAAGUAAGUUGAGUAUUCAUCCAGGAGCUACAAAAAUGUAUCAAGAUUUGAAAUGUUUGUUUUUGUGGCCUGGAAUGAAGAGUGAUGUGGCUUUGUUUGUGUAUGCAUGUUUGACUUGUCAGAAGUCGAAAGUUGAGCAUCAGAAGCCAGCAGGGUUCAUGCAACUGUUAGAAGUUCCAGAAUGG